AACGAACGCUGGCGGCAUGCCUAACACAUGCAAGUCGAACGAGACCUUCGGGUCUAGUGGCGCACGGGUGCGUAACGCGUGGGAACCUGCCCUUAGGUUCGGAAUAACUCCCCGAAAGGGGUGCUAAUACCGGUUAAUGUCUUCGGACCAAAGAUUUAUCGCCUUUGGAUGGGCCCGCGUUGGAUUAGCCAGUUGGUAGGGUAAAAGCCUACCAAGGCGACGUUCCAUAGCUGGUCUGAGAGGAUGAUCAGCCACACUGGGACUGAGACACGGCCCAGACUCCUACGGGAGGGAGCAGUGGGGAAUAUUGGACAAUGGGCGAAAGCCUGAUCCAGCAAUGCCGCGUGAGUGAUGAAGGCCUUAGGGUUGUAAAGCUCUUUUACCCGGGAUGAUAAUGACAGUACCGGGAGAAUAAGCUCCGGCUAACUCCGUG
rnacentral:rRNA from 1 species